rnacentral:rRNA from 1 species
UGGGGAAUUUUGGACAAUGAGCGCAAGCCUGAUCCAGCCAUGCCGCGUGCGGGAAGAAGGCCUUCGGGUUGUAAACCGCUUUUGUCAGGGAAGAAAUCUUCUGAGUUAAUACCUCGGGAGGAUGACGGUACCUGAAGAAUAAGCACCGGCUAACUACGUGCCAGCAGCCGCGGUAAUACGUAGGGUGCAAGCGUUAAUCGGAAUUACUGGGCGUAAAGCGUGCGCAGGCGGUUUUGUAAGACAGAGGUGAAAUCCCCGGGCUCAACCUGGGAACUGCCUUUGUGACUGCAAGGCUUGAGUGCGGCAGAGGGGGGAUGGAAUUCCGCGUGUAGCAGUGAAAUGCGUAGAUAUGCGGAGGAACACCGAUGGCGAAGGCAAUCCCCUGGGCCUGCACUGACGCUCAUGCACGAAAGCGUGGGGAGCAAACAGGAUU